UUCCUUGGAAAAGGACAGCUGAGAGGGUGAAACUCCCGUCCGCCUGGUAGAAUGAGUCUUUGUCAACGAGUCGAGUUGUUUGGGAUUGCAGCUCUAAUUUGGUGGUAAAUUCCAUCUAAAGCUAAAUAUUGGUGGGAGACCGAUAGCGUACAAGUACCGUGAGGGAAAGAUGCAAAGAACUUUGAAAAGAGAGUUAAAGAGUACCUGAAAUUGCUGAAACGGAAGCGAAGGAAACCAGUGUUUGUUGGUUCAUAUUUCCCUGGCCACUUGUGGUUUGGGCG
rnacentral:rRNA from 1 species